rnacentral:rRNA from 1 species
AUUGAACGCUGGCGGCAGGCCUAACACAUGCAAGUCGAGCGGAGCGGCGGACGGGUGAGUAAUGCCUAGGAAUCUGCCUGGUAGUGGGGGAUAACGUCCGGAAACGGGCGCUAAUCCCGCAUACUAUCAGAUUAGCCUAGGUCGGAUUAGAUAGUUGGUGGGGUAAAGGCCUGCCAAGGGGACGAGCCGUAACUGGUCCGAGAGGAUGGUCAGUCACACUGGAACUGAGACACGGUCCAGACGCCUACGGGAGGCAGCAGUGGGGAAUAUUGGACAAUGGGCGAAAGCCUGAUCCAGCCAUGCCGCGUGUGUGAAGAAGGUCUUCCGAUUGUAAAGCACUUUAAGUUGUGAGGCGUUACCAGCAGAAUAAGCACCGGCUAACUUCGUGCCAGCAGCCGCGGUAAUAC